rnacentral:rRNA from 1 species
AUUGAACGCUGGCGGCAUGCCUUACACAUGCAAGUCGAACGGCAGCAUAGGAGCUUGCUCCUGAUGGCGAGUGGCGAACGGGCGAGUAAUAUAUCGGAACGUGCCCUAGAGUGGGGGAUAACUAGUCGAAAGACUAGCUAAUACCGCAUACGAUCUACGGAUGAAAGUGGGGGAUCGCAAGACCUCAUGCUCCUGGAGCGGCCGAUAUCUGAUUAGCUAGUUGGUGGGGUAAAAGCCUACCAAGGCAACGAUCAGUAGCUGGUCUGAGAGGACGACCAGCCACACUGGGACUGAGACACGGCCCAGACUCCUACGGGAGGCAGCAGUGGGGAAUUUUGGACAAUGGGGGCAACCCUGAUCCAGCAAUGCCGCGUGAGUGAAGAAGGCCUUCGGGUUGUAAAGCUCUUUUGUCAGGGAAGAAACGGUAGUAGCGAAUAACUACUACUAAUGACGGUACUUGAAGAAUAAGCACCGGCUAACUACGUGCCAGCAGCCGCGGUAAUAC